GACGAACGCUGGCGGCGUGCCUAAUACAUGCAAGUCGAGCGGACUGAAUGGGAGCUUGCUCUUGUUCGGUCAGCGGCGGACGGGUGAGUAACACGUGGGCAACCUGCCCGCAAGACCGGGAUAACUCCGGGAAACCGGAGCUAAUACCGGAUAACACCGAAGACCGCAUGGUCUUUGGUUGAAAGGCGGCGCAAGCUGCCACUUGCGGAUGGGCCCGCGGCGCAUUAGCUAGUUGGUGAGGUAACGGCUCACCAAGGCGACGAUGCGUAGCCGGCCUGAGGGGGUGGCCGGCCACACUGGGACUGAGACACGGCCCAGACUCCUACGGGAGGCAGCAGUGGGGAAUCUUCCGCAAUGGGCGAAAGCCUGACGGAGCGACGCCGCGUGGGCGAAGAAGGCCUUCGGGUCGUAAAGCUCUGUUGUGAGGGACGAAGGAGCGCCGUUUGAAGAAGGCGGCGCGGUGACGGUACCUCACGAGGAAGCCCCGGCUAACUACG
rnacentral:rRNA from 1 species